CCUACGGGAGACUGCAGUGAGGAAUAUUGGUCAAUGGACGAGAGUCUGAACCAGCCAAGUAGCGUGAAGGAUGACUGCCCUAUGGGUUGUAAACUUCUUUUAUAUGGGAAUAAAACGUUCCACGUGUGGGAUUUUGUAUGUACCAUAUGAAUAAGGAUCGGCUAACUCCGUGCCAGCAGCCGCGGUAAUACGGAGGAUCCGAGCGUUAUCCGGAUUUAUUGGGUUUAAAGGGAGCGUAGGUGGAUUGUUAAGUCAGUUGUGAAAGUUUGCGGCUCAACCGUAAAAUUGCAGUUGAAACUGGCAGUCUUGAGUACAGUAGAGGUGGGCGGAAUUCGUGGUGUAGCGGUGAAAUGCUUAGAUAUCACGAAGAACUCCGAUUGCGAAGGCAGUUCACUGGACUGCAACUGACACUGAGGCUCGAAAGUGUGGGUAUCAAACAGGAUUAGAUACCCGUGUAGUC
rnacentral:rRNA from 1 species